GAGAGAGACAUGCGCGCAUAUCAAUAAGCGGAGGAAAAGAAACUAACAAGGAUUCCCUUAGUAACGGCGAGUGAAGCGGGAAGAGCUCAAAUUUGAAAUCUUCAAGGUUUUACCUUGACGAAUUGUAGUUUAAAGAAGUGUUUUCUGCUGAAGUUUUGGUAAAAGUUCUUUGGAAUAGGACAUCAUAGAGGGUGAGAACCCCGUAUUUGACCAUUAUUUUCAGCUUUGUGAUACACUUUCAAAGAGUCGGAUUGUUUGGGAAUGCAGUCCAAAAUGGGUGGUAAAUUUCAUCUAAAGCUAAAUAUUGGCGAGAGACCGAUAGCGAACAAGUACCGUGAGGGAAAGAUGAAAAGAACUUUGAAAAGAGAGUUAAACAGUACGUGAAAUUGUCAAAAGGGAAGCGUUUGACACCAGUGUUGUUUUCUCGAAAAUCAAUUAAAAAUGGCUCGAUUUUGUAUUGCUUGAGACCUUAAAAGCUCACUGUACAUUUUUCGUGUCUUUUUUAAUGCACUUUUCGUUUAACAAGUCAACAUCAGUUUCUUUUGUUGUAAAAGGGGUCAUUGGAAGGUGGCUUUCUUUUCGGAGAAAGUGUUUAUAGCCUUUGGCCUCUGCAAUCGGAGAGACUGAGGUCUGCAGCGUAGACUCUUCGGGGUUAGAUACAUUUGUGCUAAGUUAUAGCUUUUUAUAGACAACCUGUUGACUAUAAUUAGUCUUGUAGCUUACUCGCUUAUGCUAUUUUACCUACGCUUAGGAUGUUGAGUCGUAGAGCACGCAG
rnacentral:rRNA from 1 species